UGGUUUAAUUCGAAGCAACGCGAAGAACCUUACCAGGUCUUGACAUACUCGUGCUAUUCCUAGAGAUAGGAAGUUCCUUCGGGACACGGGAUACAGGUGGUGCAUGGUUGUCGUCAGCUCGUGUCGUGAGAUGUUGGGUUAAGUCCCGCAACGAGCGCAACCCCUAUUGUUAGUUGCCAUCAUUAAGUUGGGCACUCUAACGAGACUGCCGGUGAUAAACCGGAGGAAGGUGGGGAUGACGUCAAAUCAUCAUGCCCCUUAUGACCUGGGCUACACACGUGCUACAAUGGAUGGUACAACGAGUCGCGAGACAGUGAUGUUUAGCUAAUCUCUUAAAACCAUUCUCAGUUCGGAUUGUAGGCUGCAACUCGCCUACAUGAAGUCGGAAUCGCUAGUAAUCGCGGAUCAGCACGCCGCGGUGAAUACGUUCCCGGGCCUUGUACACACCGCCCGUCACACCACGGGAGUUGGGAGUACCCGAAGUAGGUUGCCUAACCGCAAGGAGGGCGCUUCCUAAGGUAAGACCGAUGACUGGGGUGAAGUCGUAACAAGGUACCAGUAUC
rnacentral:rRNA from 1 species